rnacentral:rRNA from 1 species
UACAGGGGGGGCAAGCGUUGUUCGGAAUUACUGGGCGUAAAGGGUUCGUAGGUGGCCAACUAAGUCAGACGUGAAAUCCCUCAGCUUAACUGGGGAUCUGCGUCUGAUACUGGAUGGCUUGAGUGCAGGAGAGGAAUGCGGAAUUCCAGGUGUAGCGGUGAAAUGCGUAGAUAUCUGGAGGAACACCGGUGGCGAAGGCGGCAUUCUGGACUGUAACUGACGCUGAGGAGCGAAAGCAUGGGGAGCGAACAGG